rnacentral:lncRNA from 1 species
CCAAUUUCCUUGCUGCAGCACUGGCGUUGUGCACCAUUGGGGCAUCCGGCAAAAUCAUAUGCAUGCGGCAUUUUGUCGAAUUUUCUGUCAGAGCGACUUU